UUCGGAAGCUUGAUAAAAAAAUAUACAGAUAUUCGGAUUUUUGUCAGGAUCUGAAUAUCAAAAAAUUUACUCAUGUGAAUCUGAAUCCUUAUAAACUUUGGGUUUAAUUAAAUUGAUUCUAAAAUUUAUAUUGCAUUAGAAAUGCCCAAUGGACGGACCUAGUUCAGAAUACUGCUAACUUUCUUUUAUUUUAAGGUUUAUAAUAAAUCAUCUACUAACAGAUUUUGUUAUACAUUACUACCUGUCAUUCGUGGGUGACGAUAGUUGCCGGAGAGUUUCCUAUCGCCGGAAACACCUCUUAAUCUCAAUCUGACAGAGGCCAAAGAGUAACCCUAGUUGGCUAGUUCCUCCCUAAUUGGGGUAAGAUUCGAGGAUUAGAGCAAUGGUGAAAACUGAGAUGUGCGAGGAUAUCAACAUCAAAGAUCAUAAGAAUCGUGUUCGCUGGCGUCGAUGUCGUAGAUAGGAAGUUCAAAAGAACUCUCCUUUGCUUCAUCAAAGAAACUGGAUAGAAGCAAGCGGUGUACUUAGCUUUCUGAUGCAAUGGGACAAUAAGAGUUGGUUCUCCAUCCAUGAAUAUGAGGUUCUGUUUUGUUUUGUAUGUUGUUGUAAAGGGAGAAAUAUGUUAAUAUUGUAUCCCUAUCUUUAUGGGAAUAGAUAUAUAUGUAAUUUUUCUAUAUCUAGGGUUAAGGGAAACUAUCGUUGUAUAUAUACUCAUCUUCUAUUGUGAAAUAAAGGUAAGCUUUCAUAAGAUAUUACAUGGAAUCAGAGCCAUAAGAUCCUUUGAUCUAAUUUACUACAACUACUAUUACACCGAUGUUGGGCCCUCUAUGGAUGUUAUUCCCACAUUGUCUACGCUUCAGACCUAGAUCAGAAAUAUAAAAAUUAAUCUACUACUAUAUAAAGGGCUCGUAUACAAAUUCUUAGUCACUUGGAAGAAUAUAUGAUACUUGGAUCGGGAAGAUUGGUAGACAUCACAAAGAGGAUGGAUGAUGCGGAGGCGUGGUUUGGGAAACCUUCCAUGUACCAAUAAUAUAUUUAUAGGAAUCACAUUUUACAGGUUAUGGUGUCGUAAAUACUCAAAGGAGUUGCACCCUCAAGAUCCAGACUGCAACAUGUCAGAGUCAAGAUCUUCAGCCAUGAACGAGUCAGAGGCUUCUUUCAUGAACCAUGAAAGAAGCUCUCAUGAUGUGUCCGUAUGUGACUCAGGGUCAGUGAUGGAUGUGAAUGUAAAACUGGAAGAGAGCAUUUUACCGUCCGCCACGUAUCUUAUGCCUCAUAUCAAGAAAACGGAGAGAUUUUGAAAGAUGGAGUUGCCGCCCUUAUUCAAAUUCUUGGGGACAUGGAUCCAUGAUUACUUCUUUUGAAACCGCCAGAAGAGCCUGAUAUUGACAUAGGAAGAUAAGUCAAUUUAUUCUUAUUAUAAGGAUGCAGUGGCUUAUAUACUGCAGUCUCCCUGUUAUGUAUCUUUGGCUUAUAUAAUGCUACCAAGAUAUCUUAAAGAUUGAUCCUAGUUGUGUAACCACCCUGAAGAAGAUUAUUGUCAUAUGUCAAAAGAAGGGGUAUCAUCACAGAGCAUUGGUAUCCUUCCUAACUCCUAAGUCUUCUUUAACACCAUUUGUUUUUGACUUGCAGUUGGAUAUAGUAGGAGAGUCUUUGAUCGUAUUGACAGAAUUGCAUUUAGAAGCUUCUUUUCCCGAACCUGAUUAUCUGGAAAGAGUUUACUGAGAUCUUGCUUCUCUUCUUUAAGAAUAUUGAUGGACAGAAUGCAGUGUGCCUCGACAGAUAAGAAAGCAACAGUAGAUGCUAUUGAAAGGAUGUUUGUCGUCACUUGUCAUUAAAGCUUCAAUGGCUGCAAAAAUAUAUUUAAAUCUGUAUAAACAUGUCUUUUCAUUGGUGCUUCUCACCUAUCUUGUUUCUCUUCUUUAAGAACAUCUUCAGUUACAAAAUCA